GACGAACGCUGGCGGCGUGCUUAACACAUGCAAGUCGAACGAAGAGCGAUGGAAGCUUGCUUCUAUCAAUCCUAGUGGCGAACGGGUGAGUAACGCGUAAUCAACCUGCCCUUCAGAGGGGGACAACAGUUGGAAACGACUGCUAAUACCGCAUACGAUCUAACCUCGGCAUCGAGGAUAGAUGAAAGGUGGCCUCUACAUGUAAGCUAUCACUGAAGGAGGGGAUUGCGUCUGAUUAGCUAGUUGGAGGGGUAACGGCCCACCAAGGCGAUGAUCAGUAGCCGGUCUGAGAGGAUGAACGGCCACAUUGGGACUGAGACACGGCCCAGACUCCUACGGGAGGCAGCAGUGGGGAAUCUUCCGCAAUGGACGAAAGUCUGACGGAGCAACGCCGCGUGAGUGAUGACGGCCUUCGGGUUGUAAAGCUCUGUUAAUCGGGACGAAAGGCCUUCUUGCGAAUAGUGAGAAGGAUUGACGGUACCGGAAUA
rnacentral:rRNA from 1 species